rnacentral:rRNA from 1 species
UGGUCUGGGAUGGGCUCGCGGCCUAUCAGCUUGUUGGUGAGGUAAUGGCUCACCAAGGCGUCGACGGGUAGCCGGCCUGAGAGGGUGACCGGCCACACUGGGACUGAGACACGGCCCAGACUCCUACGGGAGGCAGCAGUGGGGAAUAUUGCACAAUGGGCGAAAGCCUGAUGCAGCAACGCCGCGUGAGGGAUGACGGCCUUCGGGUUGUAAACCUCUUUUAGCAGGGAAGAAGCGAAAGUGACGGUACCUGCAGAAAAAGCGCCGGCUAACUACGUGCCAGCAGCCGCGGUAAUACGUAGGGCGCAAGCGUUAUCCGGAAUUAUUGGGCGUAAAGAGCUCGUAGGCGGUUUGUCGCGUCUGCUGUGAAAUCCCGAGGCUCAACCUCGGGCCUGCAGUGGGUACGGGCAGACUAGAGUGCGGUAGGGGAGAUUGGAAUUCCUGGUGUAGCGGUGGAAUGCGCAGAUAUCAGGAGGAACACCGAUGGCGAAGGCAGAUCUCUGGGCCGUAACUGACGCUGAGGAGCGAAAGGGUGGGGAGCAAACAGGCUUAGAUACCCUGGUAGUCCACCCCGUAAACGUUGGGAACUAGUUGUGGGGACCAUUCCACGGUUUCCGUGACGCAGCU